UGGGGGAUAUUGCACAAUGGGGGGAACCCUGAUGCAGCGACGCCGCGUGGGUGAAGGAGUACUCCGGUAUGUAAAGCCCUAUCGGCAGGGAAGAAGAUGACGGUACCUGACUAAGAAGCUCCGGCUAAAUACGUGCC
rnacentral:rRNA from 1 species